CUCCCACCGCGUUCUUGCUCAGCGCCCGGCUCCCAGCCGCGAUUUCCGCAAGCUGUUCCGGUUCACGCCGGGGACUCGCGAGUGCGCGCGGACACAAUGACGGGACCGCAGGAGCUGGAGCGUCCGCGGCGCUGCACGGAUAAAAUGAGACAAAGGAAGUUCCAUCAAAGAUGGAAGAUGUCAUCCGGCAAAGUCCUUCCUCCAGUCAGCCUCCUUGAAAGAUCAAAGUGGGUGCAACCAGGUUGCGUUCUCAACCUUUCUCAAAAAGUGUGCUUUGCCGCACACACUGCACACACUGCUCUUCCUUAGCCAGUCUCAUAAAAACGUGAGACCAGGCUCUGACUUCUCAGAGGAAGACACAAGACCCUUUAUGAAGAAUAAAACCCGGUAACACGACCACAUGACUUACCACAGUGCACCAUUUUGAAGAAUUAAAACUUUUGCCUGAUACCAGUUU